rnacentral:RNase_P_RNA from 2 species
ACAGUCCGAAAGCUACGAUGCUCACCACGCACAAGACAUGUCUUUGACGUGUCUUUCAUCGUGAGCGGGCUAAGGUCUGAGUAUUCUAGUCUCCCUCGAUCGACUCUUCCUGGGUUCAGUCCUAAUGGACUGCGCGACGUACCAGAAAUGCAGUAGCCAGAGAAGUCCUACCCGCCAAGCUGUGUGUCAGCUCUUCGGAGCGGCCCUUCGGUCGGAGCUCCAUGACCUUUCUCCCCACGGCUGGGGUACUGAGAGAGCAGGGACGGACAACUUUGAAAACGCGUCGCGGAGACUGGGUGGGCAUCUUUCCUCCAGGCACUGUGAACUCCACUCUCUAUCGCGGUAGACGUGCCCAUCAUGGGCGCGCAACGUGGUCGCCUUUUUCGUUCGCAAACAUGGCAGCGUAUUAGGACAUCUGGUCGAGAACUCGGGGGACCCCCCGGGGCAAGUAGCAGCCCAACUUCGGCUCGUAGUGACCACCACUACCUUGCCCUACCACACCACUGACAAUCAUGUCAGCCCGACCCAUCCGGUCGGUCGAUCUCGAUCACGUUGAUCCCGCUUUUCCCCGUACGAGGAGAUUGUUUACCCGUCGUUUGGUGGGAUGUCCAUCCUUCAGUGCAAUUCGUGGCUCGUAGACUUUGCAUCUACGAAACUCGAUUCAGACUACUCUUGGGACUGU